rnacentral:rRNA from 1 species
UACGAAGGGGGCUAGCGUUGCUCGGAAUCACUGGGCGUAAAGGGUGCGUAGGCGGGUCUUUUAAGUCAGGGGUGAAAUCCUGGAGCUCAACUCCAGAACUGCCUUUGAUACUGAGGAUCUUGAGUUCGGGAGAGGUGAGUGGAACUGCGAGUGUAGAGGUGAAAAUUCGUAGAUAUUCGCAAGAACACCAGUGGCGAAGGCGGCUCACUGGCCCGAUACUGACGCUGAGGCACGAAAGCGUGGGGAGCAACAGGG